GAUGAACGCUGGCGGCGUGCCUAAUACAUGCAAGUCGAGCGAACAGACGAGGAGCUUGCUCCUCUGCCGUUAGCGGCGGACGGGUGAGUAACACGUGGAUAACCUACCUAUAAGACUGGGAUAACUUCGGGAAACCGGAGCUAAUACCGGAUAAUAUAUUGAACCGCAUGGUUCAUUAGUGAAAGACGGUUUUGCUGUCACUUAUAGAUGGAUCCGCGCCGCAUUAGCUAGUUGGUAAGGUAACGGCUUACCAAGGCAACGAUGCGUAGCCGACCUGAGAGGGUGAUCGGCCACACUGGAACUGAGACACGGUCCAGACUCCUACGGGAGGCAGCAGUAGGGAAUCUUCCGCAAUGGGCGAAAGCCUGACGGAGCAACGCCGCGUGAGUGAUGAAGGUCUUCGGAUCGUAAAACUCUGUUAUUAGGGAAGAACAAAUGUGUAAGUAACUAUGCACGUCUUGACGGUACCUAAUCAGAAAGCCACGGCUAACUACGUG
rnacentral:rRNA from 1 species